rnacentral:rRNA from 1 species
GACGAACGCUGGCGGCGUGCUUAACACAUGCAAGUCGAACGGAAAGGCCCUGCUUUUGUGGGGUGCUCGAGUGGCGAACGGGUGAGUAACACGUGAGUAACCUGCCCUUGACUUUGGGAUAACUUCAGGAAACUGGGGCUAAUACCGGAUAGGAGCUCCUGCUGCAUGGUGGGGGUUGGAAAGUUUCGGCGGUUGGGGAUGGACUCGCGGCUUAUCAGCUUGUUGGUGGGGUAGUGGCUUACCAAGGCUUUGACGGGUAGCCGGCCUGAGAGGGUGACCGGCGACAUUGGGACUGAGAUACGGCCCAGACUCGUACGGGAGGCAGCAGUGGAGAGUAUUGCACAGUGGGCGGAAGCCAGAUGCAGCAACGCCGCGUGCGGGAUGACGGCCUUCGGGUUGUAAACCGCUUUCGCCUGUGACGAAGCGGGAGUGACGGUAAUGGGUAAAGAAGCACCGGCUAACUACGUG